CAUCUCGAGAAAUUGUUUACAAACAAAAUUAAGUAUUAUAUAUUAAAUAAAAAAUAUAAAUAGCUGCAAAAAUGCAUGGACUUUGAAGUGUUGUGAUUAUUUAACGCAGAAAAUCUUCAGAAAAUAUAAAAAAAGAUCGCAAGUUAAGUGAAACCAACUAAUACAUGUCUCCUUACGGAUAUGUCAAAGAGCAGGAGGAGCGUAUGACCGGCAAUAAAUUACAUCCGCUACCUGAAAGUAGACAACACUCCGGAAGACAUUUUGGCAUUUCAUUGGGAUGAUCAUCUCAAACAGCUUUUAAUUGGAUAAGGCUGUGUUCAAAUAUGGCAACGUGAGCAGAGAGUGCCAAAUAUUCUCUAGUUCCGGCAAAUGAAAUUUUGCAGAUGAUCCAACAAUAAGGAAAGAUACGAAAUAUCGAGUUAUUGUUUUUACUAUUGUUCAAUUCCAAAUACGUUGUUAAAUUUAAAUAAAGUUCUAUAUUUCUCUCUUUAUAUUUAUUACACCAUAUACAAAUAUUACAGAUAUUUUAGAAAUCGCAGUAUCAAGCAGAAACUGGGCUAAUACAGAUUAUUUUUUAAUGAAAAAAGAUGCCUAAAUGCGAUGGACAACGCCAGACGAGCAGAGCAACAAC